CAGGCAUAAAAAGAUAUCGGGUUUUAAACUCGGCAACGACUUUCCAACAGCCGGCUGUUUUUCCCAACAGCACAGCGGGUCCUAUCCACAACCUCACCUAAUUCUCUCACCUUAUCCACGCGCCGUCGUCUUCCUCCCGCUCCUCGCAGAUGCCGCUCGCUCGCUCUCCCUCACCUCCUCUGGCUAUGGGCGCCCCAGCCCUCGGCUCCAGAUCAGUGGGCUACCGGCGCCAGUGAGGCACGUAGCAGACGGGUUGCCUGCAUCCUUCUCAUUUACCUGGUGACCGACAUGGCGCGUCUUCGCCGUUGCCAAUACGUACACUACUGUGCAAAGGGACAUCACCGUCGCCUCUAUGCGGAUUUCAAACUCAUGUACGUUCAUAUUAGCUUUUUUUUUCCCUAAGUGUGCCAUUUUCCUUCACGUGACCCUCAUGGCGUGACAUGGGGAUCCUAGGCGACUAAGUUCAUCAACAUAAAACUCAAUGACCUCCUGUGUUACAUAUCCCUUGGUGAUGGUUCCUUCUGAACGGGCACAAUUGCGAAUGUACUUCUUUAGGACCGACAUGAGCCUCUCGAAAGGCCACAUAUUGUGCAAGUACAUUGAACCCAGAAUGAUUAUCUCUUUAACAAAGUGAACUAAGAGAUGAGUCAUAAUAUUAAAGAAGGAAGGUGGAAAGAUCA